UACAGAGGUCUCAAGCGUUGUUCGGAUUCAUUGGGCGUAAAGGGUGCGUAGGCGGCGCGGUAAGUCGGGUGUGAAAUCUCGGAGCUUAACUCCGAAACUGCAUUCGAUACUGCCGUGCUUGAGGACUGGAGAGGAGACUGGAAUUUACGGUGUAGCGGUGAAAUGCGUAGAUAUCUGGAGGAACACCGGUGGCGAAGGCGGCAUCCUGGACCAACACUGACGCUGAGUGAGCGAAAGCCAGGGGAGCAAACGGG
rnacentral:rRNA from 1 species